AUACGUAGGGGGCGAGCGUUGUCCGGAAUGAUUGGGCGUAAAGGGCGCGUAGGCGGCCCGGUAAGUCUGGAGUGAAAGUCCUGUUUUUAAGAUGGGAAUUGCUUUGGAUACUGUCGGGCUUGAGUGCAGGAGAGGUAAGUGGAAUUCCCAGUGUAGCGGUGAAAUGGGUAGAGAUUGGGAGGAACACCAGUGGCGAAGGCGACUUACUGGGCUGUAACUGACGCUGAGGCGCGAAAGUGUGGGGAGCAAACAGGAUUAGAUACCCUGGUAGUCCACACUGUAAACGAUGAAUGCUAGGUGUAGGGGGUAUCGACCCCUUCUGUGCCGCAGUCAACACAAUAAGCAUUCCGCCUGGGGAGUACGGCCGCAAGGUUGAAACUCAAAUGAAUUGACGGGG
rnacentral:rRNA from 1 species